rnacentral:rRNA from 1 species
CAGGACGCUGUGAUCCCUUCGGGGUGAACUUGUCGCUGACGAGUGGCGGACGGGUGAGUAAUGCUUAGGAAUCUGCCCAGUAGUGGGGGACAACACGGGGAAACUCGUGCUAAUACCGCAUACGCCCUACGGGGGAAAGCGGGGGAUCUUCGGACCUCGCGCUAUUGGAUGAGCCUAAGUCGGAUUAGCUUGUUGGUGGGGUAAAGGCCCACCAAGGCGACGAUCCGUAGCUGGUCUGAGAGGACGAUCAGCCACACUGGGACUGAGACACGGCCCAGACUCCUACGGGAGGCAGCAGUGGGGAAUAUUGGACAAUGGGGGAAACCCUGAUCCAGCAAUGCCGCGUGUGUGAAGAAGGCCUGCGGGUUGUAAAGCACUUUCAGUAGAGAAGAAAAGCUUAGGGAUAAUACCCCUGAGUCUUGACGUAACCUACAGAAGAAGCACCGGCUAACUCCGUGCCAGCAGCCGCGGUAAUACGGAGGGUGCGAGCGUUAAUCGGAAUUACUGGGCGUAAAGCGCGCGUAGGCGGUCUGGUCAGUCGGAUGUGAAAGCCCAGGGCUUAACCUUGGAAUUGCAUUCGAUACUGCCAAACUAGAAUGUUGGAGAGGGAAGUGGAAUUUCCGGUGUAGCGGUGAAAUGCGUAGAUAUCGGAAGGAACACCAGUGGCGAA